rnacentral:rRNA from 1 species
AGAGUACGUGAAACUGCUUAGAGGUUAAGCCCGAUGAACCUGAAUAUCCAUUAUGGAAAAUUCAUCAUUAAUAUUUAUAAUAUAUUUAUAAUAUUAUAAUAAUAGUGUGCAAUUUUUCCAUAUAAGGACAUUGUAAUCUAUUAACAUAUACAUAUACAUUUAUUAUAAGAUCACUAGCUUUAUGUUUAUUCAAAUUAAUUUGCAGUUAUGCUUAUUAACACAGAAUAAAUGUUGGUGAUUUAAUAAAGUGUUGAUAGAUUUAUUUUAUAUAGUGCUUAAAUUUAUUUCGAUAAAUUUUAUAAUAACAUAUUCAAUCAAUGAUUGUUUUUGUUCAUUAUAUGCGCUUAUAUGAUUAACAAUGCGAAAGAUUCAGGAUACCUUCGGGACCCGUCUUGAAACACGGACCAAGGAGUCUAACAUAUGUGCAAGUCAUUGGGAUUGUAAAAACCCAAUGGCGUAAUUAACUUAACUUGUUUUAUAUAUGGGAUUAGUUUUUAGAUCUAUUUUCUGAAUAGUCUAUUAAUUCAAUCCCGGGGCGUUCCAUAUAGUUAUGUAUAAUUAAUAUUUAUAUUAUU